rnacentral:rRNA from 1 species
CAGUCGAACGGUGAUAGCAAUAUCAUAGUGGCGCACGGGUGCGUAACACGUAUGCAACCUACCUUAUACUGAGGGAUAGCCUUUCGAAAGGGAGAUUAAUACCUCAUAACACAUUGAACUGGCAUCAGUUUAUUGUUAAAGAUUUAUUGGUAUAAGAUGGGCAUGCGUCCAAUUAGUUAGUUGGCGAGGUAACGGCUCACCAAGACGAUGAUUGGUAGGGGAACUGAGAGGUUAAUCCCCCACACUGGCACUGAGAUACGGGCCAGACUCCUACGGGAGGCAGCAGUAGGGAACAUUGGGCAAUGGAGACAACUCUGACCCAGCCAUGCCGCGUGCAGGAAGAAGGCGUUAUGCGUUGUAAACUGCUUUUAUAUAGGAAGAAAUAGACCUUGCGAGGUAAGUUGACGGUACUAUAUGAAUAAGCACCGGCUAACUCCGUGCCAGCAGCCGCGGUAAUACGGAGGGUGCAAGCGUUGUCCGGAUUUAUUGGGUUUAAAGGGUGCGUAGGCGGUUUAUUAAGUCAGUGGUGAAAGACGGUCGCUCAACGAUUGCAGUGCCAUUGAUACUGGUAGACUUGAGUGGGAUUGAGGUAGCUGGAAUGGAUANUGUAGCGGUGAAAUGCAUAGAUAUUAUCCAGAACACCAAUUGCGUAGGCAAGUUACUAAGUCUCAACUGACGCUGAG